GUCUACGACCAUACCACCCUGAAUGUGCCCCAUCUCAUCUGAUCUCAGAAGCUAAGCAGAGUUGGGCCUGGUUAGUACUUGGGAGGAAGGAAUGACUUUCAUGUUUAGACU
rnacentral:rRNA from 1 species